GCAGCUGCAAAAGGUCACUGAGGAGGAGGAGGAGGAUGAAGGCUAAGAUCCAGCCUCUGGUCUUUCUCUGAAGGUGCGCAAAAUAAAAAGCCCAAAUCAGACAUGGCAGCCCCACACACACGGCAGUGAUAUAGAAGAUGGACAAUCUGAUUGCAUGAAAAUUGAUGAGGGGUGGAUGAGAACGAAUUUCAUCUUCAGGAAUCAUCAAGGAUCCAGCUUAUUAUUGGCAAAUUGGAGUCAGACAGCGCCCAAGUGGGACGGAGUGGAGGGGAUGGCAUCAGAAAGGACCUAGAGCUUUCCCCUUCUAAUACAGAGCCUUUGGAAUCGUCCUAACCUCCCCCUUAAGGCGCCCCUGGUUGCAGGUUACAUUCCCAAACUGUUCAACACACUUUCACUGCACAAAUGUACAAAUCUCUUGCAAUGAGACACAUUAGUAAAACAUGUUUUCACAGAAACUGUAGUUUUCCACCAAAAUAAAAGAUCAACUGGUUUCA
ensembl:lncRNA